CAGGCCUAACACAUGCAAGUCGAGCGGUAACAGGGAUAGCUUGCUAUCUGCUGACGAGCGGCGGACGGGUGCGUAACGCGUAGGAAUUUGCCCGAUAGUGGGGGAUAGCCCGGAGAAAUUCGGAUUAAUACCGCAUACCUUCUAAGGAAGAAAGCAGGGGAUCUUCGGACCUUGCGCUAUCGGAUGAGCCUGCGUCGGAUUAGCUAGUUGGUAGGGUAAAUGCCUACCAAGGCGACGAUCCGUAGCUGGUCUGAGAGGAUGAUCAGCCACACUGGGACUGAGACACGGCCCAGACUCCUACGGGAGGCAGCAGUGGGGAAUAUUGCACAAUGGGCGCAAGCCUGAUGCAGCCAUGCCGCGUGUGUGAAGAAGGCCCUAGGGUUGUAAAGCACUUUCAGCGAGGAGGAAGGGUAUCUUGCUAAUAUCAAGGUACAUUGACGUUACUCGCAGAAGAAGCACCGGCUAACUCCGUGCCAGCAGCCGCGGUAAUACGGAGGGUGCAAGCGCUAAUCGGAAUUACUGGGCGUAAAGCGUGCGUAGGCGGUUAAAUAAGUUGGAUGUGAAAGCCCUGGGCUCAACCUAGGAACUGCACCCAAAACUGUUUAACUAGAGUACGAGAGAGGAGUGUGGAAUUUCCUGUGUAGCGGUGGAAUGCGUAGAUAUAGGAAGGAACACCAGUGGCGAAGGCGGCACUCUGGCUCGAUACUGACGCUGAGGUACGAAAGCAUGGGUAGCAAACAGGAUUAGAUA
rnacentral:rRNA from 1 species